GAGAAGGGAGGAAGCAGCGUCCCCUGUAAACUCUCAUUUAAAAAAAGAUAAGUAUAAAUUUUAUUCGUUGUUAUUAUCAGAAUUCCUUUACAGAUAAAUAGUUCCUCUUGGGCUUAAGUUGUUUAUUAACUAUUACUUUCACUGUCUCCCAUUUGUCUCUUAGAGUAAAGAAAUGAGAUGACACGAGGACAAACAAGACAAAGACCAGAGGAGACAAGCAGAGGAGAUGCCAUGCACUGUGAACCCCUUCAUUAAAAGAAAUAAAGAGGAGAGAAGGGAGGAGGCAGCAUGCCCUGUAAGCAGGCAGGCUGAGUGAACCCUCUGAUUUAAAAAGUGAGGACAAGCGGCCCCAGACAUCCUCCUCAUCUGCUGCAGCAGCAGCAUCGUCAGUUUGCUGUCCUGAAGAUCAUCAGGACAAGUGGGAUCCAAACUCAUCUCCAGG